GGAAUUAUUGUUGGUUGUGAGACAUGAUUGGGGUUGUGUUUUUGAGUUGUAUUCUAUUGAAUGUUGAGGGACUUUAUGUUCUAAGUGAUUGGGGGACGGAACCCUUGAAGUUAGAGAGUUUAGAGUUGGUAACGUGAAGGAGAAAGUCGGGCAGCUUGCGAGGAGCACGUCCGCGUCGCGGACUUGUUCCCUCUGUGAACAAAAAUCUUCUCCGCGUCGCGGACAGGACGCGGACUCCACUGUUUUCAGAAAUUAUGUUCGAAGAUUUUCUUAAGUUUGGCUGUCCCAAAUCAUUCCUAAAUCAUUCCUAAACAUCAUGAGGUCCUUCCAAACACCAAUCAAGUCCUUGAAUCCAUAAUUCAAUUCAAGGAGAGUGAGAAGUCAAGUAAAGUUAGAAGUCAAGGAAAGUCAAGAGUUAAGAAGUAAGUUCAAGCAAGUCUUCCAAGCUUUUCAAGAGUCUUAUUGAACGUUUUAACUUCAUUUUUAGACUCAAGUUUCAAGUCAAGCAAAGAGCUUAGAGUUUCAAGCUAAGUAAAGAGUCUCAAGACUCAAGUUAAGUCAAGAGUGUAAGUUGAGUCCA
rnacentral:lncRNA from 1 species